ACCAACAGCUCCCCGAAUAUUCAGUGCAGCCUCAUAAUGCAUUCCUAGAAGAUUCAUAAGCAGCAUGUCAGGAGGCACGUCUAAUAAACAGAAGGAAUCUAUAUAAUCUCCUUUCUCUCUCGGAUGAGAUUCUGUAGAACAACCAGGCUUGUAUCCUUGCCGGUUAGUGCAUGUAAUUGAAUAAAAACUAUCCGGAAAUUUGGCUAAACAAAUGUGAUAAAAAAAUAAGCGGCAGGCAGCGUAAUGAAGCCUUAUUUUGCCCGCCCGGUGGGCGGUCCGACGGGCGUUUGACGUCACGUGAAAACUGACGUAAUAGUUACGUCAAAAAGAACCAUAGGCGUAUACAAUCUGGUGUGAGCGGAAACGCAAUUCAUUUUCAAUUCGCACUUGUGGAAGAGUAACGUAGCAAAAAUGUGCUCCUGGUGUUUCCCCUGCUUCUGGUUCAGUGGGUCAUCAGACGAUGAGGAGGAUCUGAUUGUUGAGGAGGAUGAAGUGCACGAUGUGGAAACGAUCGAGGCACAGCCGGUGUCCAUUUGGAUGCCAGAUUAAAGAUGUUAUUGUGCAGUCCCCCCACAGCAAACUCAGCAGACCCAGACUCCCAAACUGCAAACAAGAACGAAGGCAGCAUGAUUAAAUACCAGGCUCCUUGUGAUCAGCCUUCACGAGGAAUCCAUACGACAAACUAAAUUGUGUUGGGCGCAGAUACUCUCACCAUUAAGAGAGCGAGGAAACGUGGAGAUGUCCCAUUGCAAACUGCAUGUUGCACGCAACGCGACACAUUGCCCACGAGAAGCGCCAGCAUAAGGCAAAGAUCCUGCACACAAACAGGAUCCUGUAGAGGGCACUGUCUGUGCUAAAUCGAAGGCUCUGUCUUGCAAAAUAUCUUCCGCUUGUGACGUAUCGCUCAGCUAUAUGCCGAUGAUGCAGCUUCAAGUCACCCCGGAAGUUUGAAGUUAACCUUUACUGCCUCAGCAGGAGUUCACAUCAAUAAAAUACGUUUACAAAUGUUUGUUAGAAA